UCCGUAGGUGAACCUGCGGAGGGAUCAUUAACCUUUCAAAUCAGGGUGCGGCGCGGCCCCCGAGGAGCGGAAACAAUCCUUGGGAGGUAUGCGGGGGCUUCGAGCCCCCCAUUUACGCACGCACGACUGCCAUCCUUACUUUACGAGCACCUUCUGUUCUCCCUCGGCGGGGCAACCUGCCGUUGGAACCGAAUAAACUCUUUUUGCAUCUAGCAUUACCUGUUCCGAAACAAACAAUCGUUACAACUUUCAACAAUGGAUCUCUUGGCUCUGGCAUCGAUGAAGAACGCAGCGAAAUGCGAUAAGUAGUGUGAAUUGCAGAAUUCAGUGAAUCAUCGAAUCUUUGAACGCACAUUGCGCCCCUCGGUAUUCCGUGGGGCAUGCCUGUUCGAGCGUCAUCUACACCCUCAAGCUCUGCUUGGUGUUGGGCGUCUGUCCCGCCUCCGCGCGUGGACUCGCCCCAUAUUCAUUGGCAGCGGUCCUUGCCUCCUCUCGCGCAGCACAUUGCGCUUCUCGAGGGGCUACGGCUCGCGUCCAACAAGCACAUUUACCGUCUUUGACCUCGGAUCAGGUAGGGAUACCCGCUGAACUUAAGCAUAUCAAUAAGCGGAGGA
rnacentral:rRNA from 1 species